CAUAUGCAAUAUCUCGCAAACCACAUAGGAGAGGUAACCCGCAAUACGCAAUACGCAACUAGGCAAGCCCUAUGCGACUAACUCGAUCCAGAAGGCAAACCCUUGCUUUUGAAGGUGUGUUAUCAUCUUUCUUCAAAAAAAGGAAGAAGAAAAAAGUACGUCUUACAUUGAUGCAUAAGAGCCCCAGUGUUAUGAGCUAUACUUGAAUACAAAUAGUGAGAUUUCCUUCUGCUUUUAUCUGCCUCUAAGAUAUUUUCCACCAGAUGAUUUUCGAAAGAACAGCUCCACUAAGCAAAUUGGACAGGAAGUGGAUGAAGAGUUACAAGUAGUGAAGAAAUCACUCAUUGUUCUAAGACACUAUGACCAGCAUUGCAGCGAGUUUACAUGACAAGAGCGUCAACAUAUAAAGAUGCACAUAAAGGUUUCAUAGUGGGAUAUCAAGAAGGUAUUCAACAAGUCAUGGAGAAAAAUAAGGACUCUAAAUUGCAUAAGAACACUUAUGCACCUGAAGGACAAACUUAACCUCCGAAAUAAAAGUUUAUGUAGUGGGAAAAUAGGGGAAAGAGAUAACAUCGGAAAUGGUCAACGUUCAGCUCAUUGAGGGUCUUGUUUAUAAAAGUGAUUUGGCUUGACAUCAAUUGAACCUCAAUGUGUAAGGUCAAGAUCAAAUACAUAAGUCUAUCUAAUGUGCUUCUUCACCAAAUGCAUGUGGGAAAGGAGUUGUUAUUUGAGCUUUUUAGUUGCUUUUUGGAGUAAUUGGUGGCUUGAAGUGAAAUCUGUAGUUUGAUUUCAACUUUUCAAGUUUGGAUGGAGGAGGCAGGACUAGACUAAAACAGGUCAGGUGAGCCAGGACUGGAUGUAAGAUAGUUGAAAAUGACUUCCACCGAAAUAUUGCCUUCUAUUUGGUACUUUAUUCCACAUAAUAUGUGCUGCGGAUUCAAAAGCAAAAGCAUAUAAUGAUUUAGCCCUUGAAUCUAUCAUCAAGGUGUCUCGCUCGGUGUCUAGAGUCUCCUCUGAUAAAGUUUGUACAUCUCUUGCCAUCUUUAUUUGACUUUUAAUCAGCUCUCCAUUAAGAUAGUCUCAGCACUUGUAGUUCCGGACCCAUCUGUGACUGUUUGUGGGUGUUCUUAUUAGGUAUAUGUUGGCAGGGUCAUGGAAUUGGCCGCUUAAAUGAAAUCUGUCAAGCACAUGGGUCUUCAUUUGGAGCUCAUUGUUAUAAGAAUCUUCUACCAUGUCCGAUAAAUGAUAACUCUAUCAUCGUCGUGGAUCCUACAUAAGACUGAAUCAGGAAUUAUUCUAUGUUUCCUUAGUGCACGUACUGUGAUUUUGGCCUUGUUCUCGAUGGCUAGCUUCAAUUAUUAUAUGUGUGAAAUAGUUGCAAAUACCGAAUACCAAGCCAUGUGAUUUCAUUAUCCUAUCCUAAAUUAAAGUUGCUUAUAGUAAGAGUUGUCUAGGUACUUUCUCUUAGCUAAGCUUACCAUCCUCUUAAUAUAUCUGAUUAAAAAGACACAAUUUGAUCCACUUGCAGGUAAAAAAUGUAAGAACAUACUACAAAAUGUAGAGCUUGAGGAAAACUAAUGGAAGAAAAUGGUCCAUUCUGUUAUUAGAUGUAUUUUGUUACUGUGGUAAUUGACUAUUGUUGCAAGAGGGGUCCCUUUAAUCUUGUGAUAAGCCACCACCUCUAAUUUCUAUGUGUAUCUUGUGACAUCCUCCCACUUGCAGGAGCACUAAAAUCUUGCUGAGAGUCAGUAGAAGUCAAUGGGGUAUCUUUUUUUCUUGAUUCUUAAUGGUCCACUGUUUGACAUAAAAAAGUAGUACUAAUACUCAUCUAACUUUUCAUCUUUUGGUUGAUUUUAUUCUAGGCAUAGUGUCAAAAUUCUAACAAUUCAUUUGCAACUAGUGUUUUGGACAUGUGACCAGAAUGAAAAGCCUGCAUCCUGUGCUAUAUGGAAAGUGAUUGACAUGCUUCCAAAGCCGUUUUCAUGUUUCAUUUGCGGUGCCUUUGUCUUCAUUUUCUUCCAAAGUAAGCGCUUAUUACUCCGUAAGAAUUUCGCAGAAAAACAUGGACACAUAUCUCACGAUUCAGCUACAGUAUACGCGUUUACCUAAAACGUAAAUGUGAUAGUAUUUUGGAGUGAUUGGUUGCUGGAUAAUGCAUGAAUGUAGUCAUAUAUCCUGAUAAAACACUAGAAAAUGUGAAAUAUAGGAUGGUUUCUAAUGACAAUAUUGGAAUUAU